GAGCCUCUACCGAGAGGUGAUGCUAGAGACCUUCCGGAACCUGGCCUCAGUAGGAGAAAACUGGAAAUACCAUGGCACUGAAGAUCAGAAUAAUAAUCUGAGGACACGUUUGGGAAGUCCUGUGGUAAAGAUACCCUCAGAAAAUAAUGAAAGUAAUCAAUGUGGAGAAACAGUCAACUGGAUUCCAAAACUCAGUGUGCAUCAGAGACUUUCACCUGGAGUAAAAUCCCAUGAAAACAAUAAGCUUGAAAAAGCCAUCAUGGACACUUCAUCCCUAAAGAGUCAUAUAGCGUCAUCUCAACAUGGACAAAGAGCCUAUCAGUGUAAGGAAUGUGGAAGAACUUUUGUCUGUUACUCAUCAUUUAGGGCACACGUCAGAGCUCACACUGAAGAGAAACCUUUUGCCUGUAAAGAAUGUGGAAAAGCCUUUAUCUACUUCUCCAAGCUGAGAGUACAUCUAAGAACUCACACUGGAGAGAAACCUUAUGAAUGUGAAAAAUGUGGGAAAACCUUCAGAUCGCCCUCAAACCUUUGGACACAUAAGGAAACUCAUACUGUCGAGAAACCCCAUGCUUGUAAAGAAUGUGAGAAAUGCUUUUCUUCUCCCUCUUCCCUUAGAAAGCACAUGAAAGUUCACAGUGCAGAGAAGAUCUAUGAAUGCAAGGAAUGUGGGAAAGCCUUCCUUCAUUCUUUUUACCUGAUCAUACAUGCGAGAAUGCACACUGGAGAGAAAG